rnacentral:rRNA from 1 species
AUUGAACGCUGGCGGCAUGCUUUACACAUGCAAGUCGAACGGCAGCGCGGGGGCAACCCUGGCGGCGAGUGGCGAACGGGUGAGUAAUGCAUCGGAACGUAUCCUGUAAUGGGGGGAUAACGUAGCGAAAGUUACGCUAAUACCGCAUACGCUCGAGAGAGGAAAGUGGGGGAUCGCAAGACCUCACGUUAUAGGAGCGGCCGAUGUCCGAUUAGCUAGUUGGUGGGGUAAAGGCCUACCAAGGCGACGAUCGGUAGCUGGUCUGAGAGGAUGAUCAGCCACACUGGGACUGAGACACGGCCCAGACUCCUACGGGAGGCAGCAGUGGGGAAUUUUGGACAAUGGGCGAAAGCCUGAUCCAGCCAUGCCGCGUGCGGGAAGAAGGCC